rnacentral:rRNA from 1 species
UUCGGCUUCUCACGAGAAAGCCACGCGAAGGGCACUGAAGGACGAGCCUGCGGCCCAUCAGCUAGUUGGUGAGGUAAGAGCUCACCAAGGCUAAGACGGGUAGCUGGUCUGAGAGGAUGAUCAGCCACACUGGAACUGAGACACGGUCCAGACUCCUACGGGAGGCAGCAGUGGGGAAUAUUGCGCAAUGGGCGAAAGCCUGACGCAGCCACGCCGCGUGAGCGAUGAAGGCCUUCGGGUCGUAAAGCUCUGUGGGGAGAGACGAAGAAAGCCUGUGAAGAGCAGGCCUUGACGGUAUCUCCUUAGCAAGCACCGGCUAACUCCGUG